GUGCCAGCAGCCGCGGUAACACGGGGGGAGCAAGCGUUGUUCGGAAUUACUGGGCGUAAAGGGUGUCUAGGCGGUCGAGUAAGUGAGAUGUGAAAUGCCCCGGCUCACCCGGGGACCUGCAUUUCAUACUGCUCGGCUCGAGUACGGGAGAGGAUGAGGGAAUUCCUGGUGUAGCGGUGAAAUGCGUAGAUAUCAGGAGGAACACCGGUGGCGAAAGCGCUCAUCUGGCCCGAUACUGACGCUGAAGCACGAAAGCUAGGGGAGCAAACGGGAUUAGAUACCCCCGUAGUCC
rnacentral:rRNA from 1 species